ncrna:unclassified sequences DTF1874 RNA
GUCAGCCCCCAUCCUAAGCAGGCCAUCCACGGUAAGAGUUCCCAUAGGGAACCGCCUGCUUGGGUGCCCAAAAGGGCAUGUUGGGGGACAGGAGGA